UUUGAAGAUAUCUGUGACAUGCAAAGGCCUUGCCACAUUGAUUACAUUCAUAAGGUUUCUCUCCAGUAUGUGUUCUUUUAUGGACUUGAAGAGUUCUGUGAUAUGCAAAGGCUUUGCCACAUUGUUUACAUUCAUAGGGUUUCUCUCCAGUAUGUGUUCUUUUAUGGAUUUGAAGGUAUCUGCGACAUGCAAAGGCUUUGCCACAUUGAUUACAUUCAUAGGGUUUUUCUCCGGUAUGUGUUCUUUUAUGGAUUUGAAAAGAUUUGUAACAUGCAAAGGCUUUGCCACAUUGUUUACAUUCAUAGGGUUUCUCUCCAGUAUGUCUCCUUUCAUGGAUUUUAAGAUAACUGUGACAUGUAAAUGCUUUACCACAUUGUUUACAUUCAUAGGGUUUCUCUCCAGUAUGUCUCCUUUCAUGGAUUUUAAGAUAACUGUGACAUGUAAAGGCUUUGCCACAUUGUUUACAUUCAUAGAGUUUCUCCCCAGUAUGUGUUCUUUUAUGAGUUUGAAGAUUGCUGUGACGUGCAAAGGCUUUGCCACAUUGAUUACAUUCAUAGGGUUUCUCUCCAGUAUGUGUUCUUUUAUGGAUUUGAAGAUAUCUGUGACAUGUAAAGGCUUUGCCACAUUGGUUACAUUCAUAGGGUUUCUCUCCAGUAUGUAUCCUUUGAUGACACUGAAGAUGAACAUAUUGUUUAAAGGCUUUGCCACAC
rnacentral:lncRNA from 1 species